UGAGAGUUUGAUCAUAGCUCAGGAUGAACGUUGGCUGUGUGCCUAAGGUAUGCAAGUCGAACGAUCCCUUUCUGAUUUCUAGUAACUUCGGUUGCUAGUUUUCUAUUUGGGAUAGUGGCAAACGGGUGAGUAACACGUAGAUAACUUGCCUCGGAGUCGGGAAUAGCUCGUCGAAAGACGGGGUAAUAUCCGAUAGUCUCUAUUUACUUUUAGUGUUUUAGAGUAAAGCUUUUGUGCUCCGAGAGAGGUCUGCGUCCUAUCAGCUAGUUGGUGAGGUAAUGGCUCACCAAGGCUAAGACGGGUAGCUGGUGUGAGAGCACGGUCAGCCACCAUGGAACUGAGACACGGUCCAUACUCCUACGGGAGGCAGCAAUUAGGAAUCUUGCGCAAUGGGGGCAACCCUGACGCAGCGACACAGCGUGGAGGAUGAAGGUCUUCGGAUUGUAAACUCCUUUUAUAUGGGAAGAAUAGAUGACUGUACCAUAUGAAUAAGGACCUGCUAACUACGUGCCAGAAGCAUCGGUGAUGCGUAGGGUCCGAACGUUAUCCGGAUUUAUUGGGUGUAUAGAGAUGCGUAGGCGGUUUGAUAAGUCUUGAGUUAAAGACCUCGGCUUAACCGAGGAAAAGCUUUCGAAACUAUCAGACUUGAGGCAUAGAGGGGUGAACGGAACUCCGAGUGGAGUGGUGAAAUACGUUGAUAUUCGGAAGAACAUCAGUGGCGAAGGCGGUUCACUGGCUAUUGCCUGACGCUCAGGCUCGAAAGCGUGGGUAGCAAAACGGAUUAGAUACCCGUGUAGUCCACGCUGUAAACUAUGGAUGCUAGGUGUUUGGUACAACUGUUUUUAACCUUCGGGUUUUAAACGGAAGUGCUGAGUGCCGCAGCUAACGCGUUAAGCAUCCCACCUGGGAAGUACGGCCGCAAGGCUAAAACUCAAAUGAAUUGGCGGGGACCCGCACAAGCGGAGGAGCGCGUGGUUUAAUUCGAUGGCAAUCGAAGAACCUUACCAGGGUUUGACAUGUAUCUGCAUAUUCCCAGAAACGGGAAUAGCCUUCGAGGGUGAUACACAGGUGCUGCAUGGCCGUCGUCAGCUCGUGUCGUGAGAUGUAGGGUUAAGUCCCGAAACGAGCGCAACCCCUAUCUCAUGUUACAAGUGUCUUGAGAAACUGCCUCGGUAAAACGGGGAGGAAGGUGGGGAUGACGUCUGGUCCGCAUAGCCCUUAUGUCCUGGGCUACACACGCGCUACAAUGGUCGGUACAAUGGGCAGCCAAGCCGUAAGGCGGAGCUAAUCCUAAAAAACCGAUCUCAGUUCGGAUUGUGGGCUGAAACUCGCCCACAUGAAGUUGGAUUCGCUAGUAAUCGUGGAUCAGCCAUGCCGCGGUGAAUACGUUCUCGGGUCUUGCACACACCGCCCGUCAAGCCAUGGAAGUAGGUGAUACCCGAAGGUGCUCUGUUAUUUAUAAUGGGGUGACGAAGGUAACGCUUAUAACUGGGGUUAAGUCGUAACAAGGUAGCCGUAGGGGAAUCUGCGGCUGAAUUACCUCCUUUCAAGGAG
rnacentral:rRNA from 1 species